AAACCCAAAGGCAUUUAGAGCAAAUCUGACAUGGGGUAAAAUUGUUUAUCAGGUCAAAAUCUAUCUGACUUGAAAUUUUCAGAUGAAUCAAACAACACGUGGUUGGGUUGUUGCCCCUGAAUUGGUAAUUUAAUGGAAAUUUUUUGGUCGUAUAUUGAUAUCACGUUGGAGUCGUCGUCUGUGUCGUCAUCGUCGUCGUAGUCUGAAGACUUUUGUUUU
rnacentral:lncRNA from 1 species